CCUACGGGAGGCAGCAGUAGGGAAUCUUCCGCAAUGGACGAAAGUCUGACGGAGCAACGCCGCGUGAGCGAUGAAGGCCUUCGGGUCGUAAAGCUCUGUUGUUAGGGAAGAACAAGUGCCGAGUAACUAUCGGCACCUUGACGGUACCUAACCAGAAAGCCACGGCUAACUACGUGCCAGCAGCCGCGGUAAUACGUAGGUGGCAAGCGUUGUCCGGAAUUAUUGGGCGUAAAGCACGCGCAGGCGGUUCUUUAAGUCUGACGUGGAAGCCCCCGGCUCAACCGGGGAGGGUCAUUGGAAACUGGGGAACUUGAGUGCAGAAGAGGAGAGCGGAAUUCCACGUGUAGCGGUGAAAUGCGUAGAGAUGUGGAGGAACACCAGUGGCGAAGGCGGCUCUCUGGUCUGUAACUGACGCUGAGGCGCGAAAGCGUGGGGAGCAAACAGGAUUAGAUACCCUGGUAGUCCACGCCGUAAACGAUGAGUGCUAAGUGUUGGAGGGUAUCCACCCUUCAGUGCUGCAGCUAACGCAUUAAGCACUCCGCCUGGGGAGUACGGUCGCAAGACUGAAACUCAAAGGAAUUGACGG
rnacentral:rRNA from 1 species